CGGCGGACGGGUGAGUAACGCGUGGGUAACCUGCCUCAUACAGGGGGAUAACAGUUGGAAACGGCUGCUAAUACCGCAUAAGCGCACAGUACCGCAUGGUACGGUGUGAAAAACUCCGGUGGUAUGAGAUGGACUCGCGUCUGAUUAGCUAGUUGGUGGGGUAACGGCCUACCAAGGCGACGAUCAGUAGCCGGCCUGAGAGGGUGAACGGCCACAUUGGGACUGAGACACGGCCCAA
rnacentral:rRNA from 1 species